rnacentral:rRNA from 1 species
UACAGAGGUCCCGAGCGUUGUUCGGAUUCACUGGGCGUAAAGGGUGCGCAGGUGGGUUGGCAAGUUUGAUGUGAAAGCCCCGGGCUUAACCCGGGAAAGGCAUUGAAUACUGCUGAUCUGGAGGAUCGGAGGGGGACUGGAAUUCUUGGUGUAGCAGUGAAAUGCGUAGAUAUCAAGAGGAACACCAGUGGCGAAGGCGAGUCCCUGGACGAUGACCUGACACUGAGGCACGAAAGCCAAGGGAGCAAACAGG